GUGUAUGGACAUACCACCCUGAAUGUGCCUGAUCUCCUCUGAUCUCAUGAAGCUAAGCAGGGUUGGGCCUGGUUACUACUUGGAUGGGAGAAGAUACCAGGCUUGAUGCUCC
rnacentral:rRNA from 1 species